ACGAACGCUGGCGGCAUGCCUAACACAUGCAAGUCGAACGAGACCUUCGGGUCUAGUGGCGCACGGGUGCGUAACGCGUGGGGACCUGCCCUUAGGUUCGGAAUAACUCCCCGAAAGGGGUGCUAAUACCGGAUAAUGUCUUCGGACCAAAGAUUUAUCGCCUUUGGAUGGGCCCGCGUUGGAUUAGCUAGUUGGUAGGGUAAAAGCCUACCAAGGCGACGAUCCAUAGCUGGUCUGAGAGGAUGAUCAGCCACACUGGGACUGAGACACGGCCCAGACUCCUACGGGAGGCAGCAGUGGGGAAUAUUGGACAAUGGGCGAAAGCCUGAUCCAGCAAUGCCGCGUGAGUGAUGAAGGCCUUAGGGUUGUAAAGCUCUUUUAACCGGGAUGAUAAUGACAGUACCGGGAGAAUAAGCUCCGGCUAACUCCGUG
rnacentral:rRNA from 1 species